rnacentral:sRNA from 1 species
UUCUAGCCCCGAUAGUAGUGAAAAUCCUUUUUAUCAGCCUUUUCGGCGGAUAAAAAGAUUGUAACGAAUAGCGGGAAAUAGC